rnacentral:rRNA from 1 species
UGGCAGACGGGUGAGUAACACGUGGUCAACCUUCCCUUUAGUGGGGGAUAACUAGCCGAAAGGUUAGCUAAUACCGCAUACAAUCGAGUUCCGGCAUCGGAGUUCGAUAAAAGGAGCAAUCCGCUUAAGGACGGGACCGCGUCCCAUUAGUUAGUUGGUGGGGUGAUGGCCUACCAAGACUCCGAUGGGUAGCUGGUUUGAGAGAGCGACCAGCCACACUGGGACUGAGAAACGGCCCAG